rnacentral:tRNA from 1 species
GCCGGGGUGGCGGAAUUGGCAGACGCAGGCGACUCAAAAUCGCCCGGGAGUGAUCCCUUGCGGGUUCGAGUCCCGCCCUCGGCA